AAGGUACUCCCUCCGUCCGGAAGUACUUGUCAUAAGAAUGAAUGUAUCUAGAUGUAUUUUAGUUAUAGAUGCACUCAUUUUUAUACAUUUGCGUGACAAGUAAUUUUGGAGGGGGGAGUAUAUC
rfam:Hordeum vulgare subsp. vulgare, WGS project CAJW01000000 data, contig: morex_contig_143617